rnacentral:rRNA from 1 species
UACGUAGGUGGCAAGCGUUAUCCGGAUUUAUUGGGUGUAAAGGGCGUGUAGGCGGGAGCGCAAGUCAGAUGUGAAAACUCAGGGCUCAACCCUGAGCCUGCAUUUGUAACUGUGUUUCUUGAGUGCUGGAGAGGCAAUCGGAAUUCCGUGUGUAGCGGUGAAAUGCGUAGAUAUACGGAGGAACACCAGUGGCGAAGGCGGAUUGCUGGACAGUAACUGACGCUGAGGCGCGAAAGCGUGGGGAGCAAACAGG